rnacentral:lncRNA from 1 species
UCACCUACAGGCUGCGGUACUUACAGGUAUGCACGGGAGGGGUCUGGGCAGUGUGGCUUGCAGCCUGGGAAGAUGUUUAUAAGACGUUCCCAUGAUGAGGCAGUUUGACCCUUGUUCCCACAGAAUGAGAUAGUGAUGUUCCUCGGACUUUUUCCCAACAGAAUGUGAUCAAGUCAGGCAGCUGGGCGGGCUGUUUCUCAC